UACGUAGGGUGCGAGCGUUGUCCGGAAUUAUUGGGCGUAAAGGGCUCGUAGGCGGUUUGUCGCGUCGGGAGUGAAAACACUGGGCUUAACCCAGUGCUCGCUUUCGAUACGGGCAGACUAGAGGUAUGCAGGGGAGAACGGAAUUCCUGGUGUAGCGGUGAAAUGCGCAGAUAUCAGGAGGAACACCGGUGGCGAAGGCGGUUCUCUGGGCAUUACCUGACGCUGAGGAGCGAAAGUGUGGGGAGCGAACAGG
rnacentral:rRNA from 1 species